rnacentral:rRNA from 1 species
GCAAUGGACGAAAGUCUGACCGAGCAACGCCGCGUGAGUGAAGAAGGUUUUCGGAUCGUAAAGCUCUGUUGUAAGAGAAGAACGGGUGUGAGAGUGGAAAGUUCACACUGUGACGGUAUCUUACCAGAAAGGGACGGCUAACUACGUGCCAGCAGCCGCGGUAAUACGUAGGUCCCCGAGCGUUGUCCGGAUUUAUUGGGCGUAAAGCGAGCGCAGGCGGUUAGAUAAGUCUGAAGUUAAAGGCUGUGGCUUAACCAUAGUACGCUUUGGAAACUGUUUAACUUGAGUGCAGAAGGGGAGAGUGGAAUUCCAUGUGUAGCGGUGAAAUGCGUAGAUAUAUGGAGGAACACCGGUGGCGAAAGCGGCUCUCUGGUCUGUAACUGACGCUGAGGCUCGAAAGCGUGGGGAGCGAACAGGAUUAGAUACCCUGGUAGUCCACGCCGUAAACGAUGAGUGCUAGGUGUUAGGCCCUUUCCGGGGUUUAGUGCCGCAGCUAACGCAUUAAGCACUCCGCCCUGGGGAGUACGACCGCAAGGUUGAAACUCAAAGGAAUUGACGGGGGCCCGCACAAGCGGUGGAGCAUGUGGUUUAAUUCGAAC